rnacentral:rRNA from 1 species
AGAUCUUGACAUCCCAUUGACAAUCCUCAUAAAAGGGACUUCUUCGGACAAUGGAGACAGGUGGUGCAUGGUUGUCGUCAGCUCGUGUCGUGAGAUGUUGGGUUAAGUCCCGCAACGAGCGCAACCCCUGCCUUUAGUAGCCAGCAUUUAGGAUGGGCACUCUAAAGGGACUGCCGGGGACAACCCGGAGGAAGGUGGGGAUGACGUCAAAUCAUCAUGCCCCUUAUGAUUUGGGCUACACACGUGCUACAAUGGCGUAAACAAAGGGAAGCGAACCCGCGAGGGCAGGCAAAUCCCAAAAAUAACGUCCCAGUUCGGAUUGCAGUCUGCAACUCGACUGCAUGAAGCUGGAAUCGCUAGUAAUCGCGAAUCAGAAUGUCGCGGUGAAUACGUUCCCGGGUC